rnacentral:rRNA from 1 species
UUGUAGCCUGCUAUGGUAUAACUUAGUGGCAGACGGGUGAGUAAUGUAUAGGAAUCUACCUAGUAGUACGGAAUAAUUGUUGGAAACGGCAACUAAUACCGUAUACGCCCUACGGGGGAAAAAUUUAUUGCUAUUAGAUGAGCCUAUAUUAGAUUAGCUAGUUGGUGGAGUAAUAGCCUACCAAGGCAAUGAUCUAUAGCUGAUCUGAGAGGAUGAUCAGCCACACUGGAACUGAGAUACGGUCCAGACUUCUACGGGAGGCAGCAGUGGGGAAUAUUGGACAAUGGGCGAAAGCCUGAUCCAGCCAUGUCGCAUGAGUGAAGAAGGCCUUUGGGUUGUAAAGCUCUUUUAGUGAGGAAGAUAAUGACGGUACUCACAGAAGAAGUCCUGGCUAACUCCGUGCCAGCAGCCGCGGUAAUACGGAGAGGGCUAGCGUUAUUCGGAAUUAUUGGGCGUAAAGGGCGCGUAGGCUGAUUAAUAAGUUAAAAGUGAAAUCCCGAGGCUUAACCUUGGAAUUGCUUUUAAAACUAUUAAUCUAGAGAUUGAAAGAGGAUAGAGGAAUUCCUGAUGUAGAGGUAAAAUUCGUAAAUAUUAGGAGGAACACCAGUGGCGAAGGCGUCUAUCUGGUUCAAAUCUGACGCUGAGGCGCGAAGGCGUGGGGAGCAAACAGGAUUAGAUACCCUGGUAGUCCACGCUGUAAACGAUGAAUGUUAAAUAUGGGAAGUUUACUUUCUGUAUUACAGCUAACGCGUUAAACAUUCCGCCUGGGGACUACGGUCGCAAGAUUAAAACUCAAAGGAAUUGACGGGGACCCGCACAAGCGGUGGAGCAUGUGGUUUAAUUCGAUGCAACGCGAAAAACCUUACCACUUCUUGACAUGAAAAUCAUACCUAUUC